rnacentral:rRNA from 1 species
CAGUAGGGAAUCUUCCACAAUGGACGCAAGUCUGAUGGAGCAACGCCGCGUGAGUGAAGAAGGUCUUCGGAUCGUAAACUCUGUUGUUAGAGAAGAACACGAGUGAGAGUAACUGUUCAUUCGAUGACGGUAUCUAACCAGCAAGUCACGGCUAACUACGUGCCAG